rnacentral:piRNA from 1 species
UGUCUUGCCAAGUUUAAGCUUUAAUCUUA